rnacentral:rRNA from 1 species
GACGAACGCUGGCGGCGUGCCUAAUACAUGCAAGUAGAACGCUGAAGGAGGAGCUUGCUUCUCUGGAUGAGUUGCGAACGGGUGAGUAACGCGUAGGUAACCUGCCUGGUAGCGGGGGAUAACUAUUGGAAACGAUAGCUAAUACCGCAUAACAUUGACUAUUGCAUGAUAGUCAGUUAAAAGGUGCAAUUGCACCACUACCAGAUGGACCUGCGUUGUAUUAGCUAGUUGGUGGGGUAACGGCUCACCAAGGCGACGAUACAUAGCCGACCUGAGAGGGUGAUCGGCCACACUGGGACUGAGACACGGCCCAGACUCCUACGGGAGGCAGCAGUAGGGAAUCUUCGGCAAUGGACGGAAGUCUGACCGAGCAACGCCGCGUGAGUGAAGAAGGUUUUCGGAUCGUAAAGCUCUGUUGUAAGAGAAGAACGAGUGUGAGAGUGGAAAGUUC